AAAAUGCAAUUUGCAGUGGUUAGAAAUGACAAAGGAUGGGUGGUAGGAUCCAGAGAAAAAACAGUGAAACCCGAUGGACCUUAAAUAGAUCUGAGGGCACUGAUUUGAUUAUUUUGGGUGAAAUCUUUUAAGAAAAUCUUGUCAGAUUCUUCACAGAAAAUUUGGUAAAGCCUAUAUUUCAUCGCCAGCCUAGCAAAGGCAAGCUGGCAAACAGGGAAACAAGGAGAACUGUGUGCUCAGCCCUCCAGAGUGGCACGGAUUAUGAGGAGGUGAUGGUCCUUCCCCGCCAAGAUCCUGAGACACUGUCACUCCGGAAUCCAAAAAGAGAUUCAGAUACCAUGAAAGGAUUUGAGCGUUUUUUUAUGUGAAUCCAAAGAUGACAUUUACAAAAGGUGGAGAAGCAGUUCCCUACUGAGGGACGUGGAUACAAAAAGCAGAUGACACAACACAUCCCAUAGAGUUCCCAGGGAAGAAUGAACCCAGAUUCUUGACCUGCAGAGGUGGCGUACUGGCUGGAGAAAUCUCUGGCUGGCGACCGUGCUAUUCUGUCUGUCCACCUAACUGUGGGCUCCCAGAUCACCACUGCCAUGGGCAGGGGGCCGUGGGGUGGGCCUGCUUGGGGUGACAGGCUAGCUGUGCUCCCAUAGCAGAGGUGGGAGAAGGGAAUCACAUCUGGUGAGCAGCUAUGUCGUGCCAGGCACUGUGCUGUGUAUUGCACACAUCUCAAACCUUGUGACAAAUGUGUAAGAUAUUUUUUAUGUAUUACAAAUGAAGGAACUGGGCUCAGAAAAGCUCCAUUAUUUGCCCAAAUUGCAGCAGUAAUGCAGGAAUUUGAAUCCACAUUAAUCUGACUCCACAACCCAUGUUCUUUCACUGAAUUCCCAUAUCCUUGUUCCCCCUACUGUCCUCACUGGUCAAGGUGAGCUUGGUCUUCCACAAACAGGCUAGAAAAGUAUGCUUACUUAUCUUUAGCUUUAUGCUUUUAAACUAAUUCUUAAAAAUCUUCUCUGGAUAAGUCAAAGACAAUGGGAAUGUGUAUUUCUAAUACAUUAAUUAUAAUACAUUACCGGUUUACACAAUGCCAUCACCUUGUCAUUUUCUUUGACACAACGUCCCCCUCCCCUCUAGUUUAUAAAUGAGGACAUUGAGGCACAAAGUGGGUAAGUGACUUGCCCAAGGGGGAGAUUUGUCCAAUCAUAAAGAUGGGCCUGAACUUUUUCUACUUUGCAUUCUUACUUGAAAGGCAGGAAACAUAUGCUCAAGAGGGAGAUCUCACGAAAUUUCAUGUCAUAUAGUGCUCUCGCUAAUUUAAUCCUGUCAUUCCUGGUUAUAUCCCUUUGGAAAAACCACCACCAGUGCCUUCUCUUUUGAUAUAUUUACAGUAAAAAUAUUCCCUGUACAAACCAUCUCACUCUUUCACAGGGAACUGGCUUGGCCCUCUCCCCUGAAGUGGGUUGCACAUCCACCCAGCCCACCCCCAGCUCACUCUAGCUCCCUUCCUGUUAGAAUUUAUUCAGAACCUCCAUUUCUAGGAGGAAGCAAGGAGGGGGCAGUUAUCUUCGUGGACUUGGGUCCUCCUGGACCCUUUGUCCUCAUGGUUAUGUUUCAAACAGAGUUGAGGGCUCCCUAAAGGGGAAAGAUUAUUUAAGUUUUGUAAAUGCUGCCCUCCAAAAACCACUCCACAUAAAUGUUUCAUGGCUUAGCCUCUGUGAGGCCAGAGCUGGAACAUUCAGCUGUGAGGGUGUUUAUAUUUGUGGAACUCUCUUGAACAUUUGCUGUGGGUUUUAAACAGCUGCUAUGCUGAAGCUCUGGGGAUAGGAAGAUCAUGAAUAUUCAGGUGAAGCCACCAGAAUGAACAGCCGUUAAUAGAAUAAAUGCCUAAACAGUUGUGUAAGGCUUAUUAAGACCUAUUGGGGCUGAGAUAAUAAAUUCCCACUCUGACAUGUUGCAACUACUGUCGCUUAAACACUUUGGACCACCUCUUCUGAACUGAAGGAAAAAAUGAUGUUAGUUCUCUGCGCGAAUACAAAGAAACACCUGGAAGCCUUGGCAAGGGGAUGAGAUUUGGCAGAGAUCUUUCCGUGUACCGAUGCAUCCUCAGGAAAAUGAUGUGCCGCUCAUUGUUCCUGUUGUCAAGGUUAUCGCAGUCGACUUCAGGCUGGAACGGGCAUUGCUCUUGCACUGAAGAAAGUCUGUCCUGACUCCCUCAGAGUGCCUCAACAUCAACCAAGAGCCACCGUGAACCUCUGGGGCACUGAGCCUGGCCACCAGCACCCCCACCCCAGCCCAUAUGGCCUGGGCCUCUCCCUUGGUGGUCUCUCUGCGUGUCUCUGUCUUCAUGUGGUGCUUUCUUCUUCUUACAAGGACAUCAGCCAUGCUGGAUUAGUUCCCACUACUACUCUCUGGGACCCCCAAAUCAGGUGCCAAGAACAUACACUGGGGAAAAGGCAGUCUCUUCAAUAAAUGGUGCCGGGAAAACUUGAUAUCCAUAUUCAGGAGAAUGAAACUAGACCCCAAUUUCUUCUCAUAUACAAAAAUCAAAUCAAAAUGGAUUAAAGAUUUAGGCUGGGUGCAGUGGCUUACUCCUGUAAUCCGAACACUUUGGGAGGAUGAAGAGGGAGAAUCACUUGAGUCCCGGAGCUCAGGACCAGCCUGGGCAACAUAAUGAGACCUUGUCUCUACAAAAAGUAAACAAAAUUAGCUGGGCAUGAUGGUCACAUGCCUGUAGUCCCAGCUACUCAGAAGGUUGAGAUGGGAGGAUUGCUUGAGGCCAGGAGAUCAAGGCUGCAGUGAGCUGAGAUCAAGCCACUGCACUCCACCCUGGACAACAGAGUGAGACCUUAUCCCCCCCUCCACCCCAUCCCACAAAAAAAAGGAUUACAGAAUUAAAUCUAAGACCUCAGACUAUGAAACUACUACAAGAAAACAUUGGGGAAAAUCUCCAGGACGUUGGUCUGGGCAAAAAUUUUUUGAGCAAUACCCCCAAGCACAGGCAACCAAAGGAAAAAUGAACAAAUGGGAUGACGUCAUGUUAAAAAACUUCUGCACAGCAAAGGAAAUAAUCAACAAUGUGAAGAGACAACCCACAGAAUGGGAGAAAAUAUUUGCAAACUACUCAUCUGACAAGGGAUUAGUAACCAGAAUAUAUAAGGAGUUCAAACAACUCUAUAGGAAAAAAUCUAAUAAUCUGAUAGAAAAACAGGCAAAAUAUUCAAAUAGACAUUUCUCAAAAGAAGACAUCCAAAGAGUAAAUAGGCAUAUGAAAAAGUGCCCAACAUCACUGAUCAUCAGAGAAAUGCAAAUCAAAACUACAAUGAGAUAUCUUACCCCAGUUAAAAUGGCUUAUACCCAAAAGACAGGCAAUAACAAAUUCUAGCAAGGAUGUGGAGAAAAAGGAACCCUCAUACACUGUUGAUGGGAAUGAAAAUCAGUACAUGUACUAUGGAGAACAGUUUGAAGGUUCCUCAAAAAACUAAAAAUAGAGCCUACUUUACCAUCUGGCAAUCCCAUUGCUGGGUAUAUAGUCGAAAGAAAGGAAAUCAGUAUAUUAAGGAGAUAGCUACACUCCUAUAUUUGUUGUAGCACUGUGUACAAUAGCCAAGACUUGGAAGCAACCUAAGUGUCCAUCAACAGAUAAACGGUUAAAGAAUGUGUUACAUAUGCACAAUGGAGUACUAUUCAGCCAUGAAAACGAAUGAGAUCCUGUCAUUUGCCACCACCUGGAUGGAACUGGAGAUGAUUAUGUUACAUGAAAUAUGCCAGGCACAGAAAGACAAACAUUGCCUGUUCUCACUUCUUUGUGGGAUUGAAAAAUCAAAACAAUUGAACUCAUGGACAUAGAGAGUAGAAGGAUGGUUAUCAGAGGCUGGGAAGAAUAGUGGGGGUGAGUGGGGAAAAGGUGGGGAUGGUUAAUGGGUACAAAAAAAUAGUUAGAAAUGAUGAAUAAGACCUACUAUUUGAUAGCACACCAGGGUGACUAUAGUCAAUAAUAACUUAAUUGUACAUUUAAAAAUAAUGACAAGAGUAUAAUUGGAUCAUUUGUAACACAAAGGAUAAAUACUUGAGAUGGAAAUCCCAUUCUCCACAAUGUGAUUAUUAUGUAUUGCAUGCCUGUAUCAAAACAUCUCAUGUAUCCCAUAAAUAUAUACAUCUAUUAUAUACCCACAAAAAUUAAAAAUUAAAAAGAAAGAACAUUUGCCUAACCAGGUAUGAGCUCCUGAUUCUCAGAGAUAGAGACUAAUCAUGUCUUUGUUUGC
ensembl:lncRNA NFIA-AS2 NFIA antisense RNA 2